CCUUGAUCCUCGGCGGACGGGUGAGUAAUGCCUAGGAAUCUGCCUGGGAGUGGGGGACAACGUUUCGAAAGGAACGCUAAGACCGCACACGUCCUACGGGAGAAAGCAGGGGACCUUCGGGCCUUGCGCUAUCAGAUGAGCCUAGGUCGGAUUAGCUAGUUGGUGGGGUAAUGGCUCACCAAGGCGACGAUCCGUAACUGGUCUGAGAGGAUGAUCAGUCACACUGGAACUGAGACACGGUCCAGACUCCUACGGGAGGCAGCAGUGGGGAAUAUUGGACAAUGGGCGAAAGCCUGAUCCAGCCAUGCCGCGUGUGUGAAGAAGGUCUUCGGAUUGUAAAGCACUUUAAGUUGGGAGGAAGGGCAGUAAGUUAAUACCUUGCUGUUUUGACGUUACCGACAGAAUAAGCACCGGCUAACUCUGUGCCAGCAGCCGCGGUAAUACAGAGGGUGCAAGCGUUAAUCGGAAUUACUGGGCGUAAAGCGCGCGUAGGUGGUUUGUUAAGUUGGAUGUGAAAGCCCCGGGCUCAACCUGGGAACUGCAUCCAAAACUGGCAAGCUAGAGUACGGUAGAGGGUGGUGGAAAUUUCCUGUGUAGCGGUGAAAUGCGUAGAUAUAGGAAGGGAACACCAGUGGCGAAAGGCGACCACC
rnacentral:rRNA from 1 species